AUUGAACGCUGGCGGCAGGCCUAACACAUGCAAGUCGAGCGGCAGCGGGAAAGUAGCUUGCUACUUUUGCCGGCGAGCGGCGGACGGGUGAGUAAUGCCUGGGAAAUUGCCCAGUCGAGGGGGAUAACAGUUGGAAACGACUGCUAAUACCGCAUACGCCCUACGGGGGAAAGCAGGGGACCUUCGGGCCUUGCGCGAUUGGAUAUGCCCAGGUGGGAUUAGCUAGCUGGUGAGGUAAUGGCUCACCAAGGCGACGAUCCCUAGCUGGUCUGAGAGGAUGAUCAGCCACACUGGAGCUGAGACACGGUCCAGACUCCUACGGGAGGCAGCAGUGGGGAAUAUUGCACAAUGGGGGAAACCCUGAUGCAGCCAUGCCGCGUGUGUGAAGAAGGCCUUCGGGUUGUAAAGCACUUUCAGCGAGGAGGCAAGGUUGAUGCCUAAUACGUAUCAACUGUGACGUUACUCGCAGAAGAAGCACCGGCUAACUCCGUGCCAGCCGCCGCGGUAACAC
rnacentral:rRNA from 1 species